UACGUAGGGUGCGAGCGUUGUCCGGAAUUACUGGGCGUAAAGAGCUCGUAGGUGGUUUGUCGCGUCGUCUGUGAAAUUCCGGGGCUUAACCUCGGGCGUGCAGGCGAUACGGGCAAUACUUGAGUGCUGUAGGGGAGACUGGAAUUCCUGGUGUAGCGGUGAAAUGCGCAGAUGUCAGGAGGAACACCGAUGGCGAAGGCAGGUCUCUGGGCAGUAACUGACGCUGAGGAGCGAAAGCAUGGGUAGCAAACAGGAUUAGA
rnacentral:rRNA from 1 species